rnacentral:tRNA from 2 species
GGAGGGGUGCCUGAGCGGUUAAAAGGGGCGGACUGUAAAUCCGUUGGCUACGCCUACGUUGGUUCGAAUCCAACCCCCUCCACCA